GGUAUGUCUCUUGUCUUAUCCGCCACACACGACACGACACGCGCCGGCCACAGAAACAGCGCUUCACUCCCCUCCGCGCCGCGGCGACCAUGGAGCUCGCCACCGUCGCCGCUGCAGUCGCCUCCGCCGCUGCGCGCCCGCACGGGCCUUUCUCCUCUCCCCGCGCAGUCUCUGCCUCCGUCUCGUGGACCAGUCUCUCGCUCGCCUACACCUCCCGCUGUCUCUCCUCCACGUCCUCGCGACGGCGGCUGCGCUGGCUCCCCGUCACCUCGGCCGCCGUGGAGCUCCGCGAGGCCACUGCCGGGGGCGGAGACUCGCUCCGUGUCACCAAGACGCCGCAGCCUGGAUCCAGUGUUAAGUUCAGCGUGGAGGUGCCUACUUCCAUCAUUCACGAGUGCUACCAAUCCACGCUACAGGAGUACGCCAAACGUGUUAAGGUUCCUGGAUUUCGGCCUGGGAAGACCAUUCCAGAAAACGUUCUUAUAAACUAUGUAGGACCGCAACAUGUACAGGAUGCCACGAUUGAAGCUAUCUUAAAACAUACGCUUCCUCAAGCACUGUCCUCGGUAGAGGAGAGGGCAUUAGAAGAUUCUGUUCGCAUUCUGACUCAAUUUGAUGAUAUGAGAAAUUCUUUCUCACUCGACAAUGUGUUUAGAUAUGAUGUUGCUGUGGAUGUUGCCCCUGAAGUCCGAUGGUUAUCUGAAGACAAAUAUAGGAACCUCAAAGUUGUCGUUGAAAUAGAUGAAGCUGUUGAUGCGGAAAAGGCGGCAGAGAAAGAGCUUCAGCGUCGUCAUAAAGCUCUAGGCUUACUUAGAAUUGUGGCUGACAGAGGCCUCCAGAUUGGUGAUCUGGUGGUGCUGGAUAUAUUUGCGGAAAGCAUUAACAAUGAUGGCUCUAGAGGUGAAAAAAUUUCAUCGGCUGAGAGUACAGGUUUCCACUUGGACACUGAGGAAAAUAGUAACCUUGUUCCUGGAUUUCUUGGUUCGUUGAUUGGGAUUCGUGCUGGUGAGACUAGAUCAUUUCCUAUCCAGUUCCCCGAGUCAUUUGAGCGAGAAAGUCUACGAGGUGUCCGUGCACAGUUUACUGUUGUGUGUAAAGAGCUGUUCUACAGAGAGUUGCCAGUAAUGGAUGACUCACUUGCUGUAAAGCUUCUUCCAGGAUGCACUACAAUAGACGAGGUUCGAGAGCGUAUUUUGAAAAGAUGUAAAGAAGUGGAGAAGACGGCCAUAGAACAAGCAACAGACAACGCGAUCCUUGACCAGCUCGGGAAGUUGGUCGAGGUCGACGUCCCUCGUGCCUUGUUUCAAGAGCAAGGGCAGCAGCUUUAUGGAGCCAAGCUUCUGCAGCUUCAGGCGGAAAGGAAGCUGGAUAAAGACCAGCUAGCUUCGUUAUCAACCAAGAGGUCAGUGCAGGCGUACCUAGAAGAUGAGAAGGAGAACAUUACAAGAAUCAUUAAACAGAUGCUGGCCGUUGGCGAUAUUUUCAAAUCCGAGAACUUACAGUACUCGACUGAUCAGCUCGUCAAGGAAGUUGAGAACUCCAUAGCGGAGUUCAAACAGUACAACCAAGACUAUGAUGAGGACAACAUCAGGCAGCAGGUCCAGGAUGUCCUAGAGGCGGCGAAGGUGCUUGAAUGGCUCAAGGAGAACUGCUCGGUCGAGUAUAUCAGGCGAUGAGUCCCACGAUGCUGGGUCAAGGAAAGCUCCUCUGAACGUGAGAAAGAUGGUGGCUGGUGUGGCGGUCGGCAGUUUUGCGAGUGGCCUUGGUCCUUGCCAAUGCCAACCAGCCUAGAGCAGUGCAGUGAUUAAGAGGUUUACAGAAGAGAGAAAUUCUGGCAGAUCCAAUUGCUGUUGCCGUCAUUCUGAUACAACCUGACUUGAUGACUCUCAAUGAAGCUGAAUGCUGAAAGGUGUUGCUGCCUUGCAGAAUGAAGCUUUGAGUUCAAUACAUGGAAUUCAUAUUUGGUGGUGGUGUUUUGGAACUUGUUUAUCUGCUAGGUGUUGCUGCCUUGCAGAAUGAAGCCGUCCACAUUGUCCUUGUUUAUCUGCAAGAUGCAUGCCUGCUCUAUUUCUUGCUCUUCAGUCUUGACUGAUGCCUACUGCCUGAGUGCAGAUUCAGUGUGAUAGUUAGAUUCUGCUGAUGUGUUAACAUGUUCAUUGUAAACAAAUUUCUUGUUAAACAUGUGUGAUCUCUUCAAGACCAUGUGUCUUUGACCUAAUAUAUUGCGAAACAUUCUUCA